UACGUAGGGGCCGAGCGUUGUCCGGAUUCAUUGGGCGUAAAGAGCUCGUAGGCGGUCGUGUAAGUCGGGUGUGAAAUCUCCAGGCUCAACUUGGAGGGGCCACCCGAUACUGCUCGACUUGAGUCCGGUAGGGGAGUGGGGAAUUCCUGGUGUAGCGGUGAAAUGCGCGGAUAUCAGGAGGAACACCGGUGGCGAAGGCGCCGCUCUGGGCCGGUACUGACGCUGAGGAGCGAAAGCGUGGGUAGCAAACAGG
rnacentral:rRNA from 1 species